rnacentral:rRNA from 1 species
CCUACGGGAGGCAGCAGUAGGGAAUUUUCCACAAUGGGCGAAAGCCUGAUGGAGCAAUACCGCGUGCAGGAUGAAGGCCUUCGGGUCGUAAACUGCUUUUAUGUGCGAAGAAUUUGACGGUAACACAUGAAUAAGGAUCGGCUAACUACGUGCCAGCAGCCGCGGUCAUACGUAGGAUCCAAGCGUUAUCCGGAAUUACUGGGCGUAAAGAGUUGCGUAGGUGGCAUUAUAAGUGGAGCGUGAAAGCGUGCGGCUCAACCGCAUUAUUGCGUUCCAAACUGUGAAGCUUGAGUAUGGGAGAGGUAGAUGGAAUUUCUAGUGUAGGAGUGAAAUCCGUAGAUAUUAGAAGGAACACCGAUGGCGUAGGCAGUCUACUGGCCCAUUACUGACACUAAGGCACGAAAGCGUGGGGAGCAAACGGGAUUAGAUACCCCGGUAGUCCACGCUGUAAACUAUGGAUGCUAGCUGUGACACACAUCGACCUGUGUCGUAGCGAAGUUAACGCGUUAAGCAUCCCGCCUGGGGAGUACGGUCGCAAGAUCAAAACUCAAAGGAAUUGACGG